GGCGGCCGGCGGCGAGGGUUUAGUCCGUGACGAAGCACACUACGAGGAGGAAAGCCACUCUCACACACAGAGAAGCCACGCGAAUCCGAGAGGGGAAGGAAGGAGGCGGACCGAGAUGCUUCUGGAGGAGCUGCUCCGCUGCCAGAUCCAGGAGUGGUACCCGGCCUUCCGCCGCUACACCAUCCCCACCGUCAUCAUCCCGCUCCCCGCCGCCUUCCUCCGCUACCUCGCCGGCCAACCGGCCUACCCCGAUGCCGACGCCGACGCCGAUGAGGGGCCGCUCCCGUUCCUCCUCCCCGCAGUAACCUCCGGCCGCCAGCCCUUCGCGCCCAUCCACGCUCACCUCCCCGAUCCCGUCUCCCUCCUCGACCGCCUCAACUCCGACCUCUUCUUCGGCUCCGGCGACGACGACGUCUACGACCCCGACGCUGACCACCCGCUCAGGCCGGCCUUCCCGGAGCUGGAGGCGGCUGUCGACGUCGCCAUCGCCGAGCUCGGAGGCGCCGCGCUUCCCAAGCUCAACUGGAGCGCGCCCAAAGACGCCACCUUCAUGUCUGCGGACGGCACCAUCCGCUGCAACUGCUUCGCCGAGGUCGCCAUGCUGCUCCGCGCAUCCGACUGCGUCGCCCACGACCUUGUCUCCUCGCGGCCCUCUUGCGAGGACUUCGUGCGCUCUGGGGGUGCUCGACGGAAUGCCAGAGAGCUCAGUGCUGGUUCCGAGGAAGAUGCUCGACCAAACGAGGGCAUUGGCAACGAAGGCGUACAACCAAAUGACCGGGAGAGUGGCAUUGAUGCUGUGAGUGAUUCCAGGGAGACUGGUGACGAGGGAGGCAAGCGGAAUGCUGCAGACUGUGAUGUCGAAGAUGCACCAGAAGAAGAAAGUAAUGGGGAGACUUGGGUGGAUGAUGGGUUCCAAUACUACCUUGCUCUCCGCAAGUGGUAUCCAGGCCUCAGACCUGAGUCAGAGUUCCGAUGCUUUGUCCGAGGGCGGAAGCUGGUUGCUGUGUCCCAGAGAGAUGCAUCAGCUUACUACCCAUCACUUCCUGGAUGGAGUUCUGAGGUGCAACCGAAGAUUGAGGCUUUCUUUGAGGAAGUGGUUGAGCCACAAUUUGCUUCAGACAAUUAUACAUUUGAUGUGUAUGUGAGAGCGGAUGGGUGUGUGAAGCUGAUAGAUUUCAAUCCAUGGGGUGGCUAUACCUUGCCGCUGCUGUUUACAUGGGAGGAGAUUGAGGAGGACGGGAGAGGGCAGGAGCUGGAGUUCAGAGUGGUGAUGCAGCAGGGUGCAGUGAGACCAGGAUUAAUGACAGCAGUGCCGUAUGAUAUGCUGGAUUGGGGGGAGGGGAGUGGCUGGGAUGUUUUCCUGAAGAAGGCUGAUGAGGAGCUCGACAGACAGAUGAACUCAAUAGGUGAUGGUUCAUAAUUACAUUUCAGUCAAAGGUGUUUGAAGAAUCCAAAUACAGCAGCUCAGCCUAUGGAUCAGCACUCAAAAGGCUACCCUAUUUACUUGUUGGAUUUGUUCAGGCAUCUUUUUGCUAGUACAAACAGUAGAAGCUGCACAGAAUAGCAUGAUCAUUACAUUUCACUACUAUGGUUACAUCAUAUUGUUAUCUGAAAGUAAACUAUUGCAAGACUGGUUUGCUCGAUGAUCAACAUUGGUUCGAGGUGACUUGGCAUGUGAUUCUCAUCAAUGACAUUCAUUUAUUACCAUACUUGCUUAAGGUAUUCCAUAAUACUAUAAGAAUCUGGAAGUUGGUGUUUUAGGAUAUGAUGAGCUGUAUCCUGCAGUUGGUGGCAGAUCAGCAGAUGAAAGCAAUUGAGUGCCUUGAUCAGCAUUUAAGUUGUGUGACAAGGAACUUCAACCCGAGGGGAUAACAGCAAAGGUAGCGGAUUCAGAGGCUUGGUUUCAUGAUUCCACGAAGUAACACACACCUUCUCUAACCUGGUUCGCAUACGAUGUCCUGAGUAUCAGGUCACUUACCUGCCGCACAUCAUCACGCAUUCAUGCGAAAUUGCGAAUGCUUGCGUUGCCCUGAAGUACUGGAUAGCUAGUGAGGACUGAGAGGCAGUGACACGGUGAUCUUCCCUGUUAGUAAUGCCUGUCCAGUUGCCACCUCGAUGCUAUUGCUGCACCAGCCAGCCAUCUGAUCCUCAUCAGGUGAAACCACAGGAUGGUGGGUGGUUGCGCGUGCUGAGUCAGCAGAAAGCACUCGUAUCGUCACACAUAGUUGUACAGCCAAUAUACUAGCGAACUAAAACUCGAUCACGGCACAAAACCACACUUACAAUUAAUGAUAUCCAUGUUGAUCCGAUUUGUUGAUGAGCAGUUAUCCCUAAUCCAUCUGAUCAACAUGGAAUAGUACAGGCAUGCACUAGCUGUUGUUUACUACAACCAGUCAAGUAGCUCCAGGUCCAGUCUUCGGAGAUGUCUUAAUGUAUAGUGAUACAUGUUACUUCUGAAUUCUGAUACUUGUUUUUCUAUUGCGAGAUGAAUGGAGACGGCAAGAGGUAAGGUGGGGUGCCUACGUGGUGUACUGACUGCGUCGCACGUCCGUUUGUCUUCUCUCAGAGAUUUCAGUUUCAGGUUCAUCACGGUUGGGGCUGAAAUAUAGUUUAAGCGGUCUCGCAGCAAGUGUGACACUGCGCUGGACACAGUUUUUCGGUCAGCGUUGGGCGCUGCUAGCGAGGCCAUGUGGAGCUUUGAAAGGCCACUACUGCAAGCUUUGGUUAAUUUGCACUGUGGUACAUAGCUUCCCAAUGUAACGUGGGGGCACGUCGAAGCUGGAGCAGAUGCCGAUGCUGUUCUGCCUUGUUAAGCUGCACAUGAAGGUUAUCUUCAGCUGAUGGGGAGCGCUGAGUGUGGAAGAAGCUGUAGAAAGUUCAGGUACAUGUCAGGGUAAAGGUUUUUCUUAGAAGAUCGUCAACAAUGGACUGUUAACCCAUGCCAACAAAUGGUAUAGGCAUCUUGAACAAUUCAGCACCUCCGAGUUGUGCGGUGGCUGGAUGGAGGAUAGUUUUCAUACUGUUAUCAGAUGCCUGCAUGCUGUUGCGCUUCAAUAGGCUAUGAGUAAUCAUUGGCUCUGGCCGGUAGAGGCUGAUAUUAUACUACUGGGCUGUGAUUGGGCCAAAAAUUUAAAAUUAGAUAAUAUA